rnacentral:rRNA from 1 species
GACGAACGCUGGCGGCGUGCUUAACACAUGCAAGUCGAACGAAGUGGCGAACGGGUGAGUAACGCGUAAUCACCCUGCCCUUCAGAGGGGGACAACAGUUGGAAACGACUGCUAAUACCGCAUACUGAAGGGGGGGAUUGCGUCUGAUUAGCUAGUUGGAGGGGUAACGGCCCACAAAGGCGAUGAUCAGUAGGCGGUCUGGGGAGGUGGACGGGCACAAUGGGACUGGGGACACGGCCAGGAUCCUUCGGGGAGCAGCAAGGGGGAAACUUCCGGAAUGGACGGAAGUCUGACGGAGGAACGCCGCGUGGAGGAUGGAGGGCUUCGGGUUGUAAAACUCUGUUAAUCAGGACGCGGUACCGGAAUAGAAAGCCACGGCUAACUACGUGCCAGCAGCCGCGGUAAUAC